GUAAUUGCAUUUGAUAGAUUAGGCCGAUAUUAGUCUAAACAAGGUUGAGACUAUUCUAUAAAUUAUUACAAAAUCGCUAAUAAGGUAUAAGGCAGUAAAAUGUUCGAGACUAAUGUUGGUUUCAUUUUACUCGAAAAUACUUUUUUUUGCAUAAAA